GGCCCUACGGGGCGCAGCAGUCGCGAAAACUUUGCAAUACACGAAAGUGUGACAGGGUCAUCCCGAGUGCCGACCGCUGAGGUUGGCUUUUACCCAGUCUAGAAAGCUGGGGGAAUAAGGAGAGGGCAAGUCUGGUGUCAGCCGCCGCGGUAAUACCAGCUCUCCGAGUGGUGUGGACGUUUAUUGGGCCUAAAGCAUCCGUAGCUGGCUGAACAAGUCCCCUGUUAAACCCACCGAUUUAAUCGUUGGCUUGCGGGGGAAACUGCUCGGCUAGGGGACGAGAGAGGCAAGCGGUAUUCUCGGGGUAGGGGUGAAAUCCUAUAAUCCCGAGAAGACCACCAGUGGCGAAGGCUGCUUGCUAGAACGCGCCCGACGGUGAGGGAUGAAAGCUGGGGGAGCGAACCGGAUUAGAUACCCGGGUAGUCCCAGCUGUAAACGAUGCAGACUAGGUGUUUGGACGGCCACGUGCCGUUCUAGUGCCGCAGGGAAGCUGUUAAGUCUGCCGCCUGGGGAGUACGAUCGCAAGAUUGAAACUUAAAGGAAUUGGCGGGGGAGCACCACAAGGGGUGAAGCUUGCGGUUUAAUUGGAGUCAACGCCGGAAAUCUCAC
rnacentral:rRNA from 1 species